rnacentral:rRNA from 1 species
UUAAAUGGCCGCGAUAUUUUGAUCGUGCUAAGGUAGCAUAAUCAUUAGUUUUUUAAUUGAAAGCUAGUAUGAAGGGUUGGAUGAAAAAAUAACUAUUUUUAUUUGAAUUUAUUAAAAUUUUAUUUUUAAGUUAAAAAGCUUAAAUUUAAUUAAAAGACGAGAAGACCCUGUAGAGUUUAAUAAAUUUUUAUAAUUUUUAAUUUAGAAUUUAUUUUUUAAUUUUAAAAAUUUAUUUAAUUGGGGUGAUUAAAAAAUUAAAUUAACUUUUUUUAUAUUUUUAUAUUAAUUUAUAAAUUUUUGAUCCAAUAUUUAUUGAUUAUAAGAUAAAAUUACCUUAGGGAUAACAGCGUUAUUUUAUUAGAAAGUU